rnacentral:pre_miRNA from 1 species
AUUCUACUCCCUCCGUUCGGAAUUACUUGUCACAAAAAUGGAUGUAUCUACAACUAAAAUACAUCUAGAUACAUUCAUUUCUUAGACGAGUAAUUCCGAACGGAGGGAGUAUAAG